rnacentral:rRNA from 1 species
AAUGAACGCUGGCGGCGUGCUUAACACAUGCAAGUCGAACGAUGCACUUUAUUCGAUUUUCUUCGGAGAUGAAGAUUUAGUGACUGAGUGGCGGACGGGUGAGUAACGCGUGGAUAACCUGCCUCACACUGGGGGAUAACAGUUAGAAAUGACUGCUAAUACCGCAUAAGCGCACAGUACCGCAUGGUAUGGCGUGAAAAACUCCGGUGGUGUGAGAUGGAUCCGCGUUUGAUUAGCCAGUUGGCGGGGUAACGGCCCACCAAAGCGACGAUCAAUAGCCGACCUGAGAGGGUGACCGGCCACAUUGGGACUGAGACACGGCCCAAACUCUACGGGAGGCAGCAGUGGGGAAUAUUGCGCAAUGGGGGAAACCCUGACGCGGCGACGCCGCGUGAGCGAUGAAGUAUUUCGGUAUGUAAAGCUCUAUCAGCAGGGAAGAAUAAAUGACGGUACCUGACUAAGAAGCCCCGGCUAACUACGUGCCAGCCGCCGCGGUAA